rnacentral:rRNA from 1 species
CCUACGGGGUGCAGCAGUGAGGAAUAUUGGUCAAUGGACGCAAGUCUGAACCAGCCAUGUCGCGUGCAGGAAGACGGCUCUAUGAGUUGUAAACUGCUUUUGUACGAGGGUAAACGCAGAUACGCGUAUCUGUCUGAAAGUAUCGUACGAAUAAGGAUCGGCUAACUCCGUGCCCGCAGCCGCGGUAAUACGGAGGAUUCAAGCGUUAUCCGGAUUUAUUGGGUUUAAAGGGUGCGUAGGCGGUAGGAUAAGUUAGAGGUGAAAUCCAGAGGCUCAACUUCGGAAUUGCCUCUGAUACUGUUCGGCUAGAGAGUAGUUGCGGUAGGCGGAAUGUAUGGUGUAGCGGUGAAAUGCUUAGAGAGCAUACAGAACACCGAUUGCGAAGGCAGCUUACCAAGCUACUUCUGACGUUGAGGCACGAAAGCGUGGGGAGCAAACAGGAUUAGAUACCCUUGUAGUC